ACAAGGCACAUAGUCACAAAUAAAGGAAGACUUCAACAGUAACAGCAAAAUUAAAGUUCUGUGCCCUCAUGGUGGCUCCUUUUUGGCUGGUGUCCUCACUAACAAAUCAGACUUCUCUUGGCUGUAAAAGCUCCUGGGGGCUUGCAUGAACACUUGGCUGUUUUGGAGGGAAGUGUUACUUCGUUAUGUAGAAGAUGACAACAUCGCUUCAGAUCUGGAUGUAGACGGCCUUGGAGUUGUUGACAGUUGAAUCAAAAGACUAUCUGGCCUGGAGAAGCUGGAGGCUUGGUUUCCAGAAAGAAGAGUUGGUGCUGAGAGGUGGGUUCCAGGGAGAAAAUGAGGCCCAAAGAGAACAUGAAGAUCCUGACUGAAGGACAGGUCUGGGAAGUGAGGGAAGAUUCUGGAGGUGAGGUAAAUGCAUGGAGACCAAUGACAGGAGAUGCCCAGCACCAAAUAAUCGUGCCUGAGACCAGAAACUGCAAGCAGAAUCGUAGCAGAAUCCAGCAGGAGUUUCUGCCCAACCUGCUCUAGCCAACGACCUGCCUGCAGGGAAAUCAAGACCUUGGGAACAUCAUGGGGAAGCUGUAACAGCCGUAGAGAAUAAGCAUAGAAAAAAACAAACCCUGCUGAAGUUUUUGCAGAGGUGAUAUUCUUUGUUUUCCCAAGGAUUCUGGAUGAACCUUAAGGCGAGCUAUGAGAUGGAGAAGGAAGCAGAGAGGGGGAAGUGCUGCUGUUAAUUUGGCAUUCAUCUUAAGGAGCUGAAUGGCAGCCAGAAGUAGUGCAGAUGGCAUCUCAAUUCCCUCUUCUUUUGAAGAAAAUGUAUUUUUAAUACAGUAACUUUUUGUUUCCAUUAAGACAUUUUUAGCUGUGGAAUAAGGACAGUUAAAGGCAGUAGUUAAACCACCAGCUUUUAGAUGACAUUUCUGAAAGCAGUUUAUUUCCCAGAGUGAUAGAUGUAUGAAACAUAUGGUUUCUUCAAAGCCACAACCAAGGAGCUGGAUAGUAAGGAUGCAGGGGGUUAGUUGGCAGACACCCUAGGAAGGAAGCG
rnacentral:lncRNA from 1 species